GGGGUCAGAAGUCGGAGUCAGGGGUCAGAGGUGGGGUCAGAGGUCAGGGUCAGAGGUGGGAGUCAGAGGUCAGGGUCAGAGGUGGGAGUCGGGGUCAGGGUCAGAGGUGGGAGUCGGGGUCAGGGUCAGAGGUGGGAGUCGGGGUCAGGG